UACUUUAAAGCAAGGUUGUGUGUGCCGGUUUGUGCACAGCAGUGAAAAUCUAAGGUGCAAGCAACCUUACAUUUUUAUGAAACUAGCAUCUUGUAUGUUUAAAAACUUGUGUGACUGAUGAGCAUAUGCUAUAGUUGCAAUAAACUUUCAGGAUUUUUUUAUGGAUUGACUCACCUACAAAUAGACAAUGUUGUUGCUUUAUGUAGUAAGAGUGUGAGCAAUAUUGAGGAGUAAUGAUGAGAAGUGCAUACAUACUGGCACCACGAACCACUGGUGAACCAUGCAUGUACCACUAUCUGAGCUUUCAGUCAAGCUGUGACUCCCAUUUUCAAAUCUAGUUGCCAAGAAGUACUAGGUAGUAGUCUGUUUCUAGUCUGCAUUUGAAAACUGUAUUUACUUUCUUUAUUCCACCCCUCCAGUCCUAGAACUACACCAACAACAUGGAAGAAAAAGAUAUGACAACUGAUGCAAUGAAGUACACAUACUUUCAACACAGAAGAAAGAAGACUUGACAGCUGAUGCAAUUGAUGAAUGUUGUCCUGCAUUGUUACAGACUGUUUUCAGAUGCAAAACAGGAACCACAGAUGAUAGACAACAACCUGUAUCCUGUUUCCAGUAGCUUCUGACAAAGCCACCUCAACUCAUGAACCAUCUGCCUGGAUGUCAGGUGAAGACGGCCUCCACAUGCACAUGGAAAGCGUGCAAAUCCACGUACAAGAUUCAAGGCCUGAUGCUCCAACUUGAAGGUGACAAACAUGUCAAAGAUAUGAUCAUAACACUGAAAAUUAAAUCUUUACUAACAAACAGC